CCCCCGGCACCGACCUCUGAGGACAGAGGGUCCCCGCCCUGAGCUGCUCGCCCAGCCCUGCAACCCUGAAUCCAUCACGCCCCAGCCCCCAGCGAGCGCCGGUCCCAGCACAAUGGAACCAGAGGGCAUCUGGAAGACCCAUCCCUGCCCGCCCUCUGUCCUCUCCAGUCGCUCGCCUUCCCUUCUCCCUCCUUCCUCCCAUCCGCCCUUCCACAGUGUCCAGGAGAUAUUAGGAGCGCACCCAAACCCCGCGUCCUCAGUCCGGAAGAGCCUGGACGGGGUGUUCUCUCCCUCCCCAGCUGUUCUCCAUCCAGACUGCCUGGAGGCGGAGACCCUCAGGAUACAGCAGGCACAAGGUGGGGCACGGUGACAAGCAGGCCCCCAACAAGGACCCAGAGUGACGUCAGCCAACCACGGCGAGGUCACCGCCACGCAGGGGCUACCAAGGCACCACGCGCCCGCGAGUCAGCGAGUGAGGGAGGCGGCCUGGAACUCAGGGCAUCUGUCUCAAAAGCCCGACCUCGCCUCGCCGAUGCCCACUGCUUAGGACGGGUCCCCUCCACGUCCCUCCUGCAGGACACACA